UACGUAGGGUGCGAGCGUUAAUCGGAAUUACUGGGCGUAAAGCGUGCGCAGGCGGUUCGUUAAGUUCGUUGUGAAAGCCCCGGGCUCAACCUGGGAACUGCAAUGGAAACUGGCGGGCUUGAGUGUGGCAGAGGGGGGUGGAAUUCCGCGUGUAGCAGUGAAAUGCGUAGAGAUGUGGAGGAACACCGAUGGCGAAGGCAGCCUUCUGGGCCAACACUGACGCUCAUGCACGAAAGCGUGGGGAGCAAACAGG
rnacentral:rRNA from 1 species